UCUAAAAAUGUGUUAUCCCAAAAUAAAAAAUCAAAUUCAAUUUUCAUGCUUUUCGUAGCUAAGUAAUCUACACAUUUAUUGUCCUUCUUGUAGAUAUCUACAAAAAGAGUUCUCUAAUUAUAAUUUUUUAGCUCAUCAAUUCUCCUAAUUAGAGAACUAGAGUGUUUCUCCAACCUUUUUUUCCCAUUCAAUAACUUCACACUUUCAAAGUCACAUUCCAUCAUCACUCUUCUCAUCCCCAUUUUUCAUGUUAAAAUUAGCCUCUAAACAAUGUCCCAAAGUUCAACUACAAACGCUGAGCAGCACCCAAGAAUCCAAGAUUGUGCGUGAAGCCCACAACCUAAUGUCCAUCCUCGUUAGGCAGGAGACCGUCACAGCCUGCUCUUUGAGAGUUUCCCAACAAUGUCGCAUCAAUGUUCAGCUUCGCUCGUCCUUGCGGCGGGCGCUUCUAUCCUAUCUCUGCGGAUCUUCUCCCUCUUGUCUUUUCCGUCAAUUCAAAUCCAGAAUGCAUCGAAAUUCCUUUGUAACACCCUUACAACCCAAAUGUCACGCUUCCGGCUGUGCCACUCCGAUAGCGAGGAUAUUACGACAACUUUCAUAUACUUGAUAAUAAACUAGGAGUCUUUAACUCAAACAAUUGUAUCGCUAUUUUCUUUGAAAAACCAAAAAUACUUUUUCUUUGUACAAACAUAUAUAAAAUCACAACUCACAACACUUACAUAUA